AAUGCAGUCGAGCGAAUGAUGAAGAAGCUUGCUUCUUCUGAUUUAGCGGCGGACGGGUGAGUAACACGUGGGCAACCUACCUAGUAGAUUGGGAUAACUCCGGGAAACCGGGGCUAAUACCGAAUAAUUCAUUUCACCUCAUGGUGAGAUGCUGAAAGGCGGUUUCGGCUGUCACUACUAGAUGGGCCCGCGGUGCAUUAGCUAGUUGGUGGGGUAAUGGCCUACCAAGGCAACGAUGCAUAGCCGACCUGAGAGGGUGAUCGGCCACAUUGGGACUGAGACACGGCCCAAACUCCUACGGGAGGCAGCAGUAGGGAAUCUUCCACAAUGGACGAAAGUCUGAUGGAGCAACGCCGCGUGAGUGAUGAAGGUUUUCGGAUCGUAAAACUCUGUUGUAAGGGAAGAACAAGUACGUUAGUAACUGAACGUACCUUGACGGUACCUUAUUAGAAAGCCACGGCUAACUACGUGCCAGCAGCCGCGGUAAUACGUAGGUGGCAAGCGUUGUCCGGAUUUAUUGGGCGUAAAGCGCGCGCAGGUGGUUUCUUAAGUCUGAUGUGAAAGCCCACGGCUCAACCGUGGAGGGUCAUUGGAAACUGGGAGACUUGAGUGCAGAAGAGGAAAGUGGAAUUCCAAGUGUAGCGGUGAAAUGCGUAGAGAUUUGGAGGAACACCAGUGGCGAAGGCGACUUUCUGGUCUGUAACUGACACUGAGGCGCGAAAGCGUGGGGAGCAAACAGGAUUAGAUACCCUGGUAGUCCACGCCGUAAACGAUGAGUGCUAAGUGUUAGGGGGUUUCCGCCCCUUAGUGCUGCAGCUAACGCAUUAAGCACUCCGCCUGGGGAGUACGGCCGCAAGGUUGAAACUCAAGAAA
rnacentral:rRNA from 1 species